rnacentral:lncRNA from 1 species
ACUAAAUGGUCCUCACAUCUUAGUUUGAAGUAGUGAUCCUAUGUUAAUGGCAGAGGGCGUACAAGUACCUGUUAAAACUGGUGUGUUUUUCCCUGCCAGUCUCCUGCAGAGCUCUGGGCAUACUUGAGGACCUUUGCUGCUUUUCACUGUAACUUUAGCUGCUGCAGUGAAGCUAAUGAAACCAUUCAGAGAAGAAAGAUCCAAGGAAACAUCUAAGAAGGUUCUUCAACAGUACUGACGCUAGUGGAAAUAAUCUUAUCCUGGGACCUGCUGGCCCUUUGUUCCAGGUGAGAUUGCCCUGACUCAGCUCCCUUGAAUCACAGUUGUACCAGAAUUAUCUAUGGUUUGGCAGCAAUAGGACAUCUGUUUUAUUCUGCCUGUGCUAUGACGCUUAGGAUGGGAUGUCUCCACAAGACAUAACAAGUCUCUGAAGUGAGGCUUGUUGUGCCAAGGCUUUGUGUACACCUGUGGUAAGUAGUAUCUACAACUGAUCAGCUAGGUCUACCUAGUUUUUAGACCAUGUCAAGGUGACGUAACUGGAAUUAAUGCUUCUGUCCCCUAGAUCUCCUAAACAGACAACAGAGGGAAAUAAGUACUUCCAUGUGCUGUUUGGAUCUCACAUAGGCUAUCAAGGGAAUAUGGAGUUCUUGCAUCUCAGUGGAAUGAACCUGAGCCUUGUUUCUCUGACAGGUUAAUGGGGUACAUGGACAGGAGACUUCAGCUUUAUCCCCUGGAGCCGUGACAGUCUGAGGUGUUGCCUGGCUCAGCUCCUAGAUGUGAAAGGAAGGAAUAACUUGCACUUCUCCGCAGUCAUUUCCUGAAGCUCACUGGUAGAAAAUAGAUAUGAUUCACUCCAGAAGGUACUGUACUGCUGAGUGCUCCCAGGUGUCUGAUCUACCAAGCAAGGUUGGUAGCAUCAGCUGUCUCUAAGGUUUCCCUUUCCUGAGGAGAGGCUAGUGUCAGCCUCAGCUAACUCUCAGAGGCUUGACAUCAAACUGCAUAGAGUUUUGUUAGAAGCUGACUGAAAACGUGGUGCUGUUAUUAUCUGACACUGGCUGAAA